rnacentral:rRNA from 1 species
AUACGUAGGGGGCAAGCGUUAUCCGGAAUUAUUGGGCGUAAAGCGCGCGCAGGCGGUCGGUUAAGUCAGGUGUGAAAGGCUGCGGCUCAACCGCAGAGCGGCAUCUGAAACUGGUCGACUUGAGUGCAGGAGAGGGGAGCGGAAUUCCCGGUGUAGCGGUGGAAUGCGUAGAGAUCGGGAGGAACACCAGUGGCGAAGGCGGCUCUCUGGCCUGUAACUGACGCUGAGGCGCGAAAGCGUGGGUAGCAAACAGGAUUAGAUACCCUGGUAGUCCACGCCGUAAACGAUGAGUGCUAGGUGUUGGGGGCUACGCCCCUCAGUGCCGAAGGCAACCCAUUAAGCACUCCGCCUGGGGAGUACGGCCGCAAGGCUGAA